rnacentral:rRNA from 1 species
UACGAAGGGGGCUAGCGUUGCUCGGAAUCACUGGGCGUAAAGCGCACGUAGGCGGACUCUUAAGUCGGUGGUGAAAUCCUGGAGCUCAACUCCAGAACUGCCUUCGAUACUGAGAGUCUUGAGUCCGGGAGAGGUAAGUGGAAUUCCGAGUGUAGAGGUGAAAUUCGUAGAUAUUCGGAAGAACACCAGUGGCGAAGGCGACUUACUGGACACAUAUUGACGCUGAGGUGCGAAAGCGUGGGGAGCAAACAGG